rnacentral:misc_RNA from 1 species
AGGCAAUGUAAUAAAUAGAGCCUUGCUACUGCAGAAAAUCUAAAAGACAUUAUUUAUGAGGUAAAUAUCAAUUCUACAAUUACAAUUAUACAUUGUUAAAGGGCCAUUGGUUAGUGCAUUGAUAAAAUUGUGAGGAUUGCAGGUAUUUCAACCAAAAAAGAUGAAGGAUAAGUGUCUCCAGAACUCCCAUUCAAUAUCCUACUCCAGUAGAACAACAAAGACCAUUCCAACUAAAGAAACACAACCAAAUUGAUAGCAUACAGAUCCUAUAGCACAAAAUUGUAACCAAGCAAGAUGGUCUUCCCCAGAUCUGCAUACAGCUAUGCCAAAGCAGUUCAUACAAAUUACAAAAGGAAAAGCGACACCUGAGAUAGGCAAUUUAAUGAAUAGAGCCUUGCUACUUCAGAAAAGCUAAAAGACAAGAUUUAUGAGGUAGAUAUCAAUUCCACAAUUACAGUUAAACAUUGCUAAAGGGCCAUUGGCUAGUGCAAAGAGAGCAAUGAUAAAAUUCUGAGAAUUGCAGGCUGAGAACAAUAUUUCAACCAAAAAAGCUGAAGGAUAGGUGUCUCCAAAAUUCCCUUUCAAUAUCCCAUUCCAGUGGAACAAUAA